GACGAACCGUCCAAACGUUAUUCGGAAUUACUGGGCUUAAAGGGUGCGUAGGCGGCCCUGUAAGUCAGUGCUGAAAUACCCCGGCUUAACCGGGGGGGUGGCAUUGAUACUGCAGGGCUUGAGUACAGAUGAGGUAGGCGGAAUUGACGGUGUAGCGGUGAAAUGCAUAGAUAUCGUCAAGAACACCGAUAGCGAAGGCAGCUUACUGGGCUGUAACUGACGCUGAUGCACGAAAGUGUGGGGAUCAAACAGG
rnacentral:rRNA from 1 species